AUUGAACGCUGGCGGAAUGCUUUACACAUGCAAGUCGAACGGUAGAGGGGGCAACCCCUCGAGAGUGGCGAACGGGUGAGUAAUAUAUCGGAACGUGCCCAGUCGUGGGGGAUAACGUAGCGAAAGUUACGCUAAUACCGCAUACGAUCUAAGGAUGAAAGCGGGGGAUCGCAAGACCUCGCGCGAUUGGAGCGGCCGAUAUCAGAUAAGGUAGUUGGUGGGGUAAAGGCUCACCAAGCCAACGAUCUGUAGCUGGUCUGAGAGGACGACCGGCCACACUGGAACUGAGACACGGUCCAGACUCCUACGGGAGGCAGCAGUGGGGAAUUUUGGACAAUGGACGCAAGUCUGAUCCAGCCAUUCCGCGUGCAGGAUGAAGGCCCUCGGGUUGUAAGCUGCUUUUGUACGGAACGAAAAGGUCUCUCUUAAUACGGGGGGCUCAUGACGGUACCGUAAGAAUAAGCACCGGCUAACUACGUGCCAGCCGCCGCCGUAA
rnacentral:rRNA from 1 species